rnacentral:SRP_RNA from 1 species
CGGAAGGAAGCAGCGGAAACAAGUGGCGCAUGUGCAUGA